GACGAACGCUGGCGGCGUGCUUAACACAUGCAAGUCGAACGGAAAGGCCCUGCUUUUGUGGGGUGCUCGAGUGGCGAACGGGUGAGUAACACGUGAGUAACCUGCCCUUGACUUUGGGAUAACUUCAGGAAACUGGGGCUAAUACCGGAUAGGAGCUCCUGCUGCAUGGUGGGGGUUGGAAAGUUUCGGCGGUUGGGGAUGGACUCGCGGCUUAUCAGCUUGUUGGUGGGGUAGUGGCUUACCAAGGCUUUGACGGGUAGCCGGCCUGAGAGGGUGACCGGCCACAUUGGGACUGAGAUACGGCCCAGACUCCUACGGGAGGCAGCAGUGGGGAAUAUUGCACAAUGGGCGGAAGCCUGAUGCAGAAACGCCGCGUGCGGGAUGACGGCCUUCGGGUUGUAAACCGCUUUCGCCUGUGACGAAGCGUGAGUGACGGUAAUGGGUAAAGAAGCACCAGCUAACUACGU
rnacentral:rRNA from 1 species